UCUUGCCUGAUGAGCUUAGAUCUGGUAGCAAGUUUCAAGAGGCUGUGCAGCAGACUGCAGCCCACAGGAGUCCAUUCACAUGGAUCUCCACACACAAGCAGUGGACUUCAGAUGUAAAUGAAGAGGAAUAACCAGGGAGGCUUCCUUCAAGGGACAGUAAAGUGCCAAGAGCUGCAUGAAGAGCACAGUGCAAACAGUCACCAAACUGGACAGUGGAUUAGAUGACUGGGUUCCAUGGUUAUUUGCAUUUUUAUCCUGCGUUUCUGAUCCAGUAUCUGAUGUAUUUGG